AUCAACUCCAAUGGGGUGUUUUGUUUUCCCUCCCUGUUUCUUAUUUUGUUCAAUCUUCACUGUGUUUUCUUUUCAGUGCCCAUCUUAGGUCAUGUAGGUAAUGUAUCCUCUUCUUUUAUGGGAUUAUCUUAUGAGAAAAUUGAUGCAGCUCUUCCUUUGUCGGUAGAUUCUGUUGAGGGACCAACGCCUCAGACAAGGUUUGUUUGGAAGAAGGCUUUGGAGUUCGGCCAUGCUGUUGUUGUUGUUGUCAAU
rnacentral:misc_RNA from 1 species